UGCUGAGUUUUCCAGCGUUUAUCUUUCUCCCGCGCUGGAUGCUUCCUGCCUUUGAACAUCAGACUCCAAGUUCUUUGGCUUCUGGACUCUUGGACUUACACCAGUGGUUUGUCGGGGCUCUCAGGUCUUCUGCCACAGACUGAAGGCUAUACUGUCAGCUUCCCUACUUUUGAGGUUUUGGGACUCGGACUGAGCCACUGCUGGCUUCCUCGCUCCUCAGCUUGCACGCGGCCUAUCGGGGGACUUCACCUUGUGAGCGUAAUGCUGACUUGGUUUAUGUAUCUAUCUCUUUCCCACACCAUCUAUGCCUCAGAGAAAUCUUCACAAACUCAGCUUCAAGGAUGGGUCAGAGCCUUGGAAACUGCAUCUGCCUGGCUGUCAUUUUCUGCAAGUGCUGGUGUAAUUUCAAGAUUUGCUUGCCAAAUGCAUUAUAGCAUACUGGACAAAAACAAGGACUGCUGGGAUGAAAUUGAGAUUAUGAAGCUCUUGAGGUAAGAACAUUGGUCACAAAUCGAUGAAACUAAUUGUAAUCUGUUUUCAACCUCUUCAGAGUUGGGCCUUUUGCAUCACAUAAUUGUGUUGAGCUCAAAAAGAGUA
rnacentral:lncRNA from 1 species